rnacentral:lncRNA from 1 species
GCUAAAACUUUAAAGAGAAAAUAAUUAUAACUUUCACUAAAACUUACAGUUACAGGUACUAUAAAUCUGAUAUGUGGUCACUUGGUAAGAAUUACAGUUACGUGAUUCUAGUUGACAAAGUCAUAUGCCAUGAUAUCUGACCUUGUGUAAAAUUAUGUCUCUUUGUAUGUAAAGGUUGCUGCAUGUUUGAAAUUGUUGCACAUCAACUAGCAUUUCGUGCUCCAGUAAGAACAAAACCGAAUCAUCUGAGUUUGAUAUUAUUAGUGACAAUGAAGUUUAUCCAAUAUGAGUGAAAUAAUUUGGUGAAUCAUGAAUGAAUCAAACAGGACAGGUCUGGACUUAUCAAUAAAAUAAAUAGAUGCUCCAUUUCUCCGUUGCCAAUUGUUUACUCGUCCACACUGUAAGUAACCUUUUCAUGUUAUUACAAAAUAUUCAGUCCUUCUGCUUCAGUUUUUCCAGGUAACAAGUCAGCCAGCUUCUCAAAUUUGCCUCUUAGAGUUUUUGACCGCUUGUCCAGGUAAGCUUGACAGCUAAGCAUAAUCCAAAUGGAUAGCUUUGACUUCACUUAUCCAGCGUGGCAGCGGGCUUGCCAGCCUUCACAGCAGCUACACUUUCUCCAAUUCUGCCAAUCAUCUCAUCCAGCUCUUAUUGAAGCCAAUUGCUCUCUCAAGUGCACUGCACAACUCCAAACAGCAAUAUAUAGAAAAGGACAUAAUUACCUGCCAAGGCUUGGCAAAAUCAUAUAAAGCUUCUUUAACACAACUUUCAGCUUUAUCCCAGAUUGCAAUAUCUCAUAGGUAUUUCUCUGGUCUCUAAUGAAGUAUCCCAGACAUGAAAUACUGAUCUAUAAUUGAAAGAAAAAAAAAACGAUUGAUUCGGAAAAACUUUCUAUGCUUCUCCUUAACUGGGAAGCAAGAUAGAAAGACAUCAAAUUUGUUGUAGAGUAAAAAGGGUUUACAAAGAUUUAUCUUACAUAAAUUUAAAGAUAAAAUCACGUGGAACUCCUUGCAGAAAAUGUGCAUCAUCCUCAGCAACAUUUAAAUCAAAUGUCAUUAACAGUAUGAAACUCAACAACAUAGACAACAGAAAGUAAAGAUAACGAAAAUGCACCAUACACAUGCCUGCGAAAUUUAAAACCUAAAGAACCUAGCCACAAUAAUGCAUAAAAAUGUAUGUGCUCCUGCCUCGGUAACUUGACAUGAAAAAUAAUGAAUCUGCUGGUUCUAUGUACUAAGCAACAAAUUAAUUUUAUUCAAUUAACCCAAUAAAAAGUUGACCCCCUUCCAUAAAAACUAAUGUCAAUCCUCAUACAGAGACGAAUGAAAUAUAACAUUUGGUGUUUUCCAAACUGAAUCCAAAAACAUAACUCUCUGUCACACACCCUUGCCCCCUUUUUUCUAGGGUUUUCGAACAAGAAUAAAAAAGAAAACCAAAGACAGAGAAAUUAAAAAGAAGAAAGGAUUACAGGACAAACCUCUUAUGCUUCUCACUUCGCUGAUAACGAUUAAGUCCCUGUGCCAACCAUGGAGUUCUCUUUUUCUUUAUUCUUUAUCGCUCGCUCUCUCCCUCUCGACCAUGCAAAUCAAAGGAAUGAACAAAGGAACGAAAAAGGAACUCAAUUUUCAAUCAGUUUUCACACACUGCAAAGACAAUUUUGCCCUUAAUGACAAAUGAGUGACAUUGGGUCCCACCCGUGUCAAAUGAGUGUGGAUUCUAUUAACCGUGUCAAAGAAUUAUUUCCCAAAAAGAAUUUCCAAUUACA